rnacentral:lncRNA from 1 species
AGCAGGAGCUGUGUGUGUCCUAGGCGAAGAUUGAGGAUGGCCCCUUUGCUCCAUCUUCCCAGUAGUGCAUAAUCUUUCUUGACGUUCUUUGGUUUGAAGACAUUGCUAACUACAGAGGCAGAGGAGUCACCAGCCACAUCAGCAGUGAAAACUUCAAUCUUCAGAGACACGUGCUUUGGUUCAUUUAAGAUUUUCCAUUAAUUUUAUACAGUAAUUGACACUCAGGCAAAAUAAUGUGAAAAUGUCUAGAUUUAGUAAUUUCGUCUGUGUCUUCAUUAAAAUUGAAGAUUUUAAGAAACCAGGUCACCCCUGCUCUUCCAGCCUAUGAAUACUUCUUAUGAAAUAAAAGCACUGAUUUUCACUCUGGAUCACCAUGCAGAAACUGACCUUAGUCAGAAAGGAGUGUUGCCAGAAGCUGCUGCACAGGCUGCAGGGCCGUGUACAGAGCUCUGAGGAGCGCCAGCCUAGUAAGCAUGCUGGGAGGCCGUCUCCACUACAGGAAGCCCAGGUGGUUUGGUUUUUUUCUUUUGAAAUUUCUAAAAUAAAUGACUCCAUGGGAUUUUUUUUUUACACGUGUACAUUACUACAUUAUAUAUUGGAAGUCUUUGGACCUUUGAGUGGGGUUUAAUUGUUCAUUAUCAGAGACUGUGUGCUAUUUUAUUUUUAAUAAAUGUAUGUUCCC